CUACGGGGUGCUGCAGUGGGGAAUUUUGGACAAUGGGCGAAAGCCUGAUCCAGCAAUACCGCGUGCAGGAAGAAGGCCCUCGGGUUGUAAACUGCUUUUGUACGGAACGAAACGGCGCGCUCUAAUAAAGUGCGCUAAUGACGGUACCGUAAGAAUAAGCACCGGCUAACUACGUGCCAGCAGCCGCGGUAAUACGUAGGGUGCAAGCGUUAAUCGGAAUUACUGGGCGUAAAGCGUGCGCAGGCGGUUUUGUAAGACAGGCGUGAAAUCCCCGGGCUCAACCUGGGAAUUGCGCUUGUGACUGCAAGGCUAGAGUACGGUAGAGGGGGGUAGAAUUCCGCGUGUAGCAGUGAAAUGCGUAGAUAUGCGGAGGAACACCGAUGGCGAAGGCAGCCCCCUGGACCUGUACUGACGCUCAUGCACGAAAGCGUGGGGAGCAAACAGGAUUAGAUACCCCAGUAGUC
rnacentral:rRNA from 1 species